UACGUAGGUGGCAAGCGUUGUCCGGAAUUAUUGGGCGUAAAGCGCGCGCAGGCGGUCCUUUAAGUCUGAUGUGAAAGCCCACGGCUCAACCGUGGAGGGUCAUUGGAAACUGGGGGACUUGAGUGCAGGAGAGAAGAGUGGAAUUCCACGUGUAGCGGUGAAAUACGUAGAGAUGUGGAGGAACACCAGUGGCGAAGGCGACUCUUUGGCCUGUAACUGACGCUGAGGCGCGAAGCGUGGGGAGCAAACAGG
rnacentral:rRNA from 1 species